UACGGGGGGAGCAAGCGUUGUUCGGAUUUACUGGGCGUAAAGGGCGCGUAGGCGGCCACCGCAAGUCGACUGUGAAAUCUCCGGGCUUAACCCGGAAAGGUCAGCCGAUACUGCGGGGCUAGAGUGCAGAAGGGGCAACUGGAAUUCUCGGUGUAGCGGUGAAAUGCGCAGAUAUCAGGAGGAACACCGGUGGCGAAGGCGGGUCUCUGGGCCGUAACUGACGCUGGAGGAGCGAAAGCGUGGGGAGCGAACAGG
rnacentral:rRNA from 1 species